GCUCUUUUCUCUACAGCACGUGGUACAGAGAAGAUUAGCAUGGCCCUUGCGCAAGGAUGACACGCAAAUUCGUGAAGCAUUCCAUAUUUUU
rnacentral:snRNA from 1 species